AUGAAGUAUUCAUGCCAUGUUUACAAUAAUUUUAUAUGGUUUUGGUAUGAUGUGCAUGGAGCUAACCUGGACUGGCGCUGUUUUCAGCAGAACAACCGUGGUGUUGUUUUUUGUGCAGAAAUGAAAGUUCUCCAAACACCGCGAAACUAUUUGUGGAUUUUUAUGGACCAGAAGAAUACCAAUGGGCCAAGGCUGCACCUGGGGGGUGCCUCAAGGAGGGAAGCACCCACCAGGGCAUGCCAGGAUGCCCAGGCGCACCCUGGUGGGUUGUGCCCACCUUGGUGGCCUCCCAUACCCCUUCUUCGCCGUAUAAAUUCCCAAAUAUUUCGAAAACCCUCGGGGAGACUCUAG
rnacentral:rRNA from 1 species